CGAUAGGUUUUUUUUGAAACCAUAUCAAAUUCAGAUCAAACACGAAU
rfam:Atta colombica isolate Treedump-2 unplaced genomic scaffold scaffold281, whole genome shotgun sequence.